AGCAACCUCACAGUGAAUACCUGAGACAUCGUAGGUCAAAGGACCAGUCAUACAACUGCAGCAUAAGUAGUCACUGAUGAGUGGAUGACAUCCAUGUGACUACUAUCUUUGGUCACGCUCAGUACCUUGUUCUCUAACAAGUACUUGCAUAAUCACUCCAGUGUCUCUACACCGUGGACUCGAGACUCGUCCAUCUGACUAAGUGAUCUAUGCACUAAUCUCAGCGGAUCAAUCACCGUCCCUCGUGAUGGAUCCCUCGAUCAGGAGCAUUUAGAAAUUAAUCCCUAAUGACACAUGCCUCAAAUUUUCAACUUCUUGAAAUUAUGUGUCAUCAUCUAUUAAUUUCUUGGACGAUUCAUGGACACAUACAAACAUGAAUGAAAAAUAAAUUACCCAAUCUUAUUUAUUAAUAAGUGUCAAAUUACAAAUUUAUGCCCCAGAUUACAAAUAUGCGUCAGCCACAUUGGCUUAUAGGGCAUACUUCUAACAUGUUGUUCUGUCUUUCUCUGAGAGAGUCGACUUGAAGACUGCGUGAGUCGACUCGUGAAAGUGCCAAGCAUGCCAUUUGAUAAUUUCUUGUGCUAGAGUCGACUCCAACUCUCCAAGAGUUGACUCGAAGACUGUUCCUAGGCACUCUGAAAUUCAGAAUCUUUUUAAUUUGACUUCAAAACUUCUUGAAAUCUUCCGCCUACCCCGCAUUCUCAGCAGCGGACUUCCAGCCUUCCCGCAUUUCAUCCAUAGCGCGUCGUCCUCACCCGAGAUCAGCGUCCAUGAUCCUCUCACAACGAUCUCCCAGCAUCCGCGAUCAGCUCCCGAGCAUCUCUGUGCAUCCAUUUGAAGAAGAUCGGGAUUCAUGCCAAGCCUCCACACCUCAGCCUCCUCCGACCAUCCGCGAUCACUGCCCAGCCGUCCGCCUCCUCCACAGCAUCCGCGACCUCAUCCUUCCAACCUCACGCGCCCAAGAUCAGCCGUUCGCAUUGAUCUCCAAUGCAUCCCCAAGAUCCAUAGAGGGGGGAGAUGAGUAUAAGAGGUAGUCGGCUGAGAAAGGGGGGGGCAUCGAAGAAGAAGAACAGGGAGGAGCCGGGCUGCUGCAGUAGAAAGAAAAAAAAAAGUAGAAAGAAACAGGGGAUGCCCUGUUUCUGUUAUUAAAAAAAAA
rnacentral:lncRNA from 1 species